rnacentral:snRNA from 1 species
AUGUAUGUUAUUUCUUCCUCAAGGCCUUCCUUAAGACCUGUAGUACAAUUUUUGGAGACCCUGUCCUUUAGUAGGGUG